GCCGGCAUAGCUCAGCUGGUAGAGCAGCUGAUUUGUAAUCAGAAGGUCGGGGGUUCGAUUCCCUCUGCCGGCA
rnacentral:tRNA from 1 species